GCUUUAGCCGCUGCAAAUGAAACUAAAAACGCUGACCGACUGUUGAAUAGUUUGCGCCAGCAUCGCGCCCCAUUUUAUCCCACUGGCUGGCCAAAGUUGGCAAAUGGCAAAUGUUUGCAUACGCCGACGUGAUGCCGAAAGGAUAAUGGAAAUUUCUAAAAAUUGUAUCGCCUUGCCGGCCAUUCCGCACCGAAACAAUUUUGUAAUCGAAAAAGUUUGCCCGGCCUUCUGGCCGAAAGCAAACAAUUAGUUUAGGGUCCGUGGGUAAAAACUGGGGCGAGUCUGAGAGCCGUGCAGUUCAGCUAGCAAAUGUCAGAUGCUUUUACUUAUAGCCCUUAAUCGCUUGCUCAUGUCACGAGCUCAUUGGCUCUGGCACACUUGACUGGAGUCCGUCGAUUUUCAAAAUACGUCGGCUUUGAAUUUGUUGGGUGAAGUACACCAAACUAAAAUUUAGAUGACAGAAAAAGACCAACUAAAUAUGGGGUUAUUUUGAUGCAUAUGUCACGAAUCGAGCAGUUCGAAAAAACAAGCCAUUUUUUUUCAAUAUGUAUCUAAUAAAAUUGAAAAUAUCCAUGAUAUCAUAAUACACAUGCAUCGUAACCUGAAAUGGGGGAUGAUUGGAAUAUAAACAUGGCCGAAGUCAACCACUAAAAUUAUGCUUUGUUGACCCACGCUCGACGGCAGUUCAAGAUUUCCUGUGAUUACUCUACCGUAGACUCGGCAUUUUUCCACCCACCACCAGAAUCCGCAUUAUCUGCCCACCCGCUCCGCCGCAAAACCAUUAAUAAUGCUUAAAAUUUAAGUCCUGGCAAAUUGGUUUAGCCUGAGCCGCAAAAAUAUAUUCCCACUGCUCGGAAAUAAGGCAAAAACUGGGAGCCAAAAAUGUUUGUGUCGCAGUUAAUUAUAACGCUUAAGCUGGCAGCCAAAAAAUUCCUGCCUGCGGGUUGAAAUCAAGGGGGUUUACGAAUAUACAUAUAUACGUGCACAAGGCGUCGGGUUUUACCUGUCAGGCGUUAAUAAUUCACUUGUCGACCUGCCGCAGCAGCCAAAGAGCAAAACCAAAUAGCUCUGACAGCAAAUUUGCUUUUAGUUUGCCUGCGAAAACUUCCACAUGGUUAACUAAUUAAAAGUUAUUAGAACAUUCCCGCCCACUUUUGCGUUGGCAAAUUUAUUGAAAUUUAUUUCGUUUUGUGCGACACGAAAUUCACAUUAAAAUCGACUUUCAUGCGGCACAUCUCCGGGCAAAGGACACAUGGACAUGACGAGCUCCUGCCAACUAAUGUGCCGCACGGAGGUCCUACCUAGUCCUGGCCAAUUACCUUCACCUGAUGGUCACCGGGUCAGCUUUAAUUAAACGAAAUAUUCGCUUAGUCCGAAGGCAGUUAGAUGGCUGCCCAGUGUGUUUUUGUGGCAAUUUAAAAUGCGAAGAGACGCACGAAAGCCGGGCAAAAAGGACCUUUUCUCAUGUCGAGCGUUUGUCGGUGCCUAAAAGCAAAUAUUCAUCUGGCGGUCCGCAUCGUGUUUCACAAUUUUUAUUGGCAUAUUUACCGAAAAUUAAAUGGAGCGUAAAGCAA
rnacentral:sRNA from 1 species